AGAAUUUUGACGUAGAACUUAUCAAAAUUCUCCUUUUGUCUUCAUAGUGAAAAAGCCAUUCGGAUUUCUAAGUCAGUUCGUGGCCAAGUAACAACAAGUACGCUUUUGUGAAAACGACAGAACCGUUCGGUAGCACUACCCUGAAAUUAAUUGUUCGCAUGGCGAUAAAGUAUUUUUAAAUUUCCGUCUAACGUCUGUCUUGUGAGAGCCUCAAUUCUGUAAAUAAAAUCAUCUACGGACAUAGACGAGUAUUCGGAUUCCAUUCGGCGGUAUUCAGCCGUCGGCUGGGGUACGCGAUAACUCGCUUCCGUAUCUCUAUAGUUUGGUCAGGACGAGAGAUCGGUACGAGAAUCGGUGCUUCAGUGAGUAAAUUCUUCAAGGCUUUGAAUUCUUUCUCUUGUUUUGUCGUCCACGACCACGUCGCCGAAGCUUGGCACGAAAUUGGUUGGCGGUAUCAGUUCCCGUAAGACGGAGACCUUGUCGGGGUCCGUAAAAAUCCCGGCCUCACUGAUUACGGGUCCAAGAUAUCGAAUGCUCCGUUGGAGGAACUGGCACUUGUCCCUGUUGGCUUCCCUAAGCCGUCGGAACACCUCGCGGUAUUCCGUACGCGCUCCUGUAGAGUAGAUCCGAUCACGAUGAUGUCAUCGAGAUAGGCCAAGGCAUGCGACUCCAUGUCUGGGCCAAUGACGAUGUCCAGGGAUCUCUGGCAGGUCGCUGGGGCUGAGUGCACGCUAAAAGGCAUCAACUUCCAGUUGAAGAAACACCGACUGGGGACGGUGAACGCAGCGUAUCCAACGUCGAGAUGAAACGGGCGUGUCGUAGUAGCUCCAGGAUGUGAUGGAUCCAGGGUAAUGGAUACGCAUCGACGGCUCGAUCCUUCUAUCGCGGAAUAGCUCGUCAAUCUGGAGAACACAACACAAGAUGAUGGGACGGUGAUAUGAUAUACUCCGGCUCCACGGUUCUGGGUAACUCUUGGGAGGGCCGCUGUGUCGUGGCUCUUCCUCCGAGUCGCACUCUGCGCCCGCCGUCCCGAGGGGCUGUGUGUGAGUGUCGGCGGUUUCAGAUCCUGGAAUCGGACUCGUUUUGCUGCCCGGCGGCUGCUUCUCGUCUGCGUGGCUCUGGGUGAGCUGAUGAACCGGCUUCUGCGCGGUCUCUAUUCCGAGUGGGUGGCGUGAGUCCUAGCCCACCGCACUGCGCGGUACCAUCCAACUGCGCGGUGUCCGGCGGUUCCGUCGUCUUUGUAUCUCCCGACGAAGAGUUACCAUAAUUGGAUUCCAUUUCCCCGAGGGGAGUCUGGAUGAAAUCGGAAAGCCCAGGUUGUCGUGCAAACGCGUAUAGUCGGGCUCUCCUAAUGUACCGCUGCGAUCUAGAUUAAGCUUCUUUGGUGACGGCCAAAAUUGCUCUCUGUCCGCUCGCUUUCGCUGAGAGCAUAAGAAAUAUAAAAAUAGAAUUUGCUUGCUUGUGUGAGUAAAAGCAAUAGACGAGAAUGUGUAUAUGU